rnacentral:rRNA from 1 species
UACAGAGGUCUCGAGCGUUUGUUCGGAUUCAUUGGGCGUAAAGGGCGCGUAGGCGGCGGGGUAAGUCUGGUGUGAAAUCUCGGAGCUCAACUCCGAAAUUGCACUGGAUACUGCUCUGCUAGAGGGCUGGAGAGGAGAUCGGAAUUCACGGUGUAGCAGUGAAAUGCGUAGAUAUCGUGAGGAAGACCAGUGGCGAAGGCGGAUCUCUGGACAGCUCCUGACGCUGAGGCGCGAAGGCUAGGGGAGCAAACGGG